UACGUAGGGUGCAAGCGUUAAUCGGAAUUACUGGGCGUAAAGCGUGCGCAGGCGGUGAUGUAAGACAGGUGUGAAAUCCCCGGGCUUAACCUGGGAACUGCAUUUGUGACUGCAUCGCUGGAGUGCGGCAGAGGGGGAUGGAAUUCCGCGUGUAGCAGUGAAAUGCAUAGAUAUCGUCAAGAACACCGAUAGCGAAGGCAGCUUACUGGGCUGUAACUGACGCUGAGGCACGAAAGUGUGGGGAUCAAACAGG
rnacentral:rRNA from 1 species